rnacentral:sRNA from 1 species
GUGCGGGAGGGAAGCAGGAAGUGACUGCGGGAGUGGAGCCGGCGAGCGAGUGGCAGCGGGGGCUGAUGGAAGUGCAGUGGGGGCUGGAGAGGGCACCCUAGCGGUGUGUGGGGGUACCCGGGAUUCCUGGGAGCAGAGGCAGCUACAAUUCCAGCUGCUCCCAGGCCCCUCCCACUUGCUCUGGCUGUUAGCUGGACCUCUGGAACUUGACUGGGAAUCUGGUUAACUUGCAGCAGGUCUGGGUGGGGCGUGACAGUGUGCAUUUCUAACCAAUUCCCAGGUUGGGUGGUCCGCGGACCACGCUUUGAGUAGCGAGGCAUUAGAGAACUUUUCCACAGUCCUCUCCGCCCAGACCUGAUUCCUUCUGCUGGAUUCCCCCUCGUGGAGUUAGGGCAUGUGUGUGCAGCUCCACUAAGGCCCAGCAGCCCUAGUGCUGUUUCCACUUCUGCAACUUCACCAUCCUCUUGAACUGACUCUUGGAAGCGGAACAACAGGUUUAAAAGGGGGAGAAAGGAAAUAAAGAAAACAAACCUGUAUCAAUCAGCCGGGAAUGCCCAU